CUACGGGGUGCAGCAGGCGAGAAAACUUUGCAAUGUGCGAAAGCACGACAAGGUUAAUCCGAGUGGUUUCUGCUAAAGGAACCUUUUGACAGUCCUAGAAACACUGUUGAAUAAGGGGUGGGCAAGUUCUGGUGUCAGCCGCCGCGGUAAAACCAGCACCUCAAGUGGUCAGGAUGAUUAUUGGGCCUAAAGCAUCCGUAGCCGGCUCUGUAAGUUUUCGGUUAAACCUGUACGCUCAACGUACAGGCUGCCGGGAAUACUGCAGAGCUAGGGAGUGGGAGAGGUAGACGGUACUCGGUAGGAAGGGGUAAAAUCCCUUGAUCUAUUGAUGACCACCUGUGGCGAAGGCGGUCUACCAGAACACGUCCGACGGUGAGGGAUGAAAGCUGGGGGAGCAAACCGGAUUAGAUACCCGUAUAGUC
rnacentral:rRNA from 1 species